rnacentral:lncRNA from 1 species
CGGCGCCCCCGGCGGCGCGGGCGUCAGGUAGAGGAGGCGGGGCCGAAGCGCGGGCACCCGAGUCCCGGAGGAUCGCCUUGGUUUCUGUAUUGGUCUCUGAAGAGAUAGGAGACAUCACCUCUGGGAAUCUCUGUGUCA